GAGCGGCGUACGGGUGCGGAACACGUGUGCAACCUGCCUUUAUCUGGGGGAUAGCCUUUCGAAAGGAAGAUUAAUACCCCAUAAUAUACUGAUGGCAUCAUUCGGUAUUGAAAACUCCGGUGGAUAGAGAUGGGCACGCGCAAGAUUAGAUAGUUGGUGAGGUAACGGCUCACCAAGUCUACGAUCUUUAGGGGGCCUGAGAGGGUGAUCCCCCACACUGGUACUGAGACACGGACCAGACUCCUACGGGAGGCAGCAGUGAGGAAUAUUGGACAAUGGGUGAGAGCCUGAUCCAGCCAUCCCGCGUGAAGGACGACGGCCCUAUGGGUUGUAAACUUCUUUUGUAUAGGGAUAAACCUACCCUCGUGAGGGUAGCUGAAGGUACUAUACGAAUAAGCACCGGCUAACUCCGUGCCAGCAGCCGCGGUAAUACGGAGGGUGCAAGCGUUAUCCGGAUUUAUUGGGUUUAAAGGGUCCGUAGGCGGAUCUGUAAGUCAGUGGUGAAAUCUCACAGCUUAACUGUGAAACUGCCAUUGAUACUGCAGGUCUUGAGUGUUGUUGAAGUAGCUGGAAUAAGUAGUGUAGCGGUGAAAUGCAUAGAUAUUACUUAGAACACCAAUUGCGAAGGCAGGUUACUAAGCAACAACUGACGCUGAUGGACGAAAGCGUGGGGAGCGAACAGGAUUAGAUACCCUGGUAGUCCACGCCGUAAACGAUGCUAACUCGUUUUUGGAGCGUAAGCUUCAGAGACUAAGCGAAAGUGAUAAGUUAGCCACCUGGGGAGUACGAACGCAAGUUUGAAACUCAAAGGAAUUGACGGGGGCCCGCACAAGCGGUGGAUUAUGUGGUUUAAUUCGAUGAUACGCGAGGAACCUUACCAAGGCUUAAAUGGGAAAUGACAGGUUUAGAAAUAGACUUUUCUUCGGACAUUUUUCAAGGUGCUGCAUGGUUGUCGUCAGCUCGUGCCGUGAGGUGUUAGGUUAAGUCCUGCAACGAGCGCAACCCCUGUCACUAGUUGCCAUCAUUAAGUUGGGGACUCUAGUGAGACUGCCUACGCAAGUAGAGAGGAAGGUGGGGAUGACGUCAAAUCAUCACGGCCCUUACGCCUUGGGCCACACACGUAAUACAAUGGCCGGUACAGAGGGCAGCUACACUGCGAAGUGAUGCAAAUCUCGAAAGCCGGUCUCAGUUCGGAUUGGAGUCUGCAACUCGACUCUAUGAAGCUGGAAUCGCUAGUAAUCGCGCAUCAGCCAUGGCGCGGUGAAUACGUUCCCGGGCCUUGUACACACCGCCCGUCAAGCCAUGGAAGUCUGGGGUACCUGAAGUCGGUGA
rnacentral:rRNA from 1 species